rnacentral:rRNA from 1 species
GAGGGAAAGGCGAAAAGAACCCCGGAGAGGGGAGUGAAAUAGAACCUGAAACCGUGUGCGUACAAGCAGUAGGAGCUCCGCAAGGAGUGACUGCGUACCUUUUGUAUAAUGGGUCAGCGACUUACUGUUCGUGGCAAGCUUAACCGUAUAGGGGAGGCGAAGGGAAACCGAGUCUGAUAAGGGCGCAUAGUCGCGGGCAGUAGACCCGAAACCGGGUGAUCUAGUCAUGCCCAGGGUGAAGGUGCGGUAACACGCACUGGAGGCCCGAACCCACUCCCGUUGCAAAGGUAGGGGAUGAGGUGUGAUUAGGAGUGAAAAGCUAAUCGAACCCGGAGAUAGCUGGUUCUCCUCGAAAGCUAUUUAGGUAGCGCCUCAUAUGUAUCCUCUCGGGGGUAGAGCACUGUUAUGGCUAGGGGGUCAUCGCGACUUACCAAACCAUUGCAAACUCCGAAUACCGAGACGGACUGUAUGGGAGACACACGGCGGGUGCUAACGUCCGUCGUGAAAAGGGAAACAACCCAGACCCACAGCUAAGGUCCCAAAUUCACUGCUAAGUGGAAAACCAUGUGGAAAGGCACAGACAGCCAGGAGGUUGGCUUAGAAGCAGCCACCCUUUAAAGAAAGCGUAAUAGCUCACUGGUCGAGUCGGUCUGCGGGGAAGAUUUAACGGGGCUAAGCAGUGAACCGAAGCUUGGGGUGCAUACUUUGUAUGCGCGGUAGAGGAGCGUUCCGUAAGCCGUUGAAGGUGGAUUGAGAAGUCUGCUGGAGGUAUCGGAAGUGCGAAUGCUGACAUGAGUAACGAUAAUGCGGGUGAAAAACCCGCACGCCGAAAGCCCAAGGUUUCCUUGCGCAACGUUAAUCGGCGCAGGGUGAGUCGGCCCCUAAGGCGAGGACGAAAGUCGUAGUCGAUGGGAAGCAGGUUAAUAUUCCUGCACCUCGCGUAAGUGCGAUGGAGGGACGGAGAAGGUUAGGUGUACCAGGCGUUGGUUGUCCUGGGGAAAGGCGGUAGGUUUGGAUCUUUGGCAAAUCCGGGAUCCUUUAAGACCGAGCACCGAGACGAGCCUUUAUGGCGAAGUCACUGAUACCACGCUUCCAGGAAAAGCUCCUAAGCUUCAGCUUACGCAGACCGUACCGUAAACCGACACAGGUGGGUAGGAUGAGAAUUCUCAGGCGCUUGAGAGAACUCGGGUGAAGGAACUAGGCAACAUGGCACCGUAACUUCGGGAGAAGGUGCACCCUUUUUGGUGGCUCGUGCGAGCUAUAGCUGAAGAGGGUCGCAGUAACCAGGCCGCUGCGACUGUUUAUCAAAAACACAGCACUCUGCAAACACGAAAGUGGACGUAUAGGGUGUGACGCCUGCCCGGUGCUGGAAGGUUAAUUGAUGGGGUCAGCCGCAAGGCGAAGCUCUUGAUCGAAGCCCCAGUAAACGGCGGCCGUAACUAUAACGGUCCUAAGGUAGCGAAAUUCCUUGUCGGGUAAGUUCCGACCUGCACGAAUGGCGUAACGACAGCGGCGCUGUCUCCACCCGAGACUCAGUGAAAUUGAAAUCGCUGUGAAGAUGCAGCGUUCCCGUGGCAAGACGGAAAGACCCCGUGAACCUUUACUAUAGCUUUACACUGAACGUUGAGUUCGUCUGUGUAGGAUAGGUGGGAGGCUAUGAAACCAUGGCGCUAGCUGUGGUGGAGCCAUCCUUGAAAUACCACCCUGUCGUGCUUGACGUUCUAACCUGGGCCCAUUAUCUGGGUCGGGGACCGUGUAUGGUGGGUAGUUUGACUGGGGCGGUCUCCUC